rnacentral:rRNA from 1 species
GAUGAACGCUGGCGGCGUGCUUAACACAUGCAAGUCGAACGAAGCACUUUAACCUGAUUCUUCGGAUGAAGGUUUUUGUGACUGAGUGGCGGACGGGUGAGUAACGCGUGGGUAACCUGCCUCAUACAGGGGGAUAACAGUUAGAAAUGACUGCUAAUACCGCAUAAGACCACGGAGCCGCAUGGCUCAGUGGGAAAAACUCCGGUGGUAUGAGAUGGACCCGCGUCUGAUUAGGUAGUUGGUGGGGUAACGGCCUACCAAGCCAACGAUCAGUAGCCGACCUGAGAGGGUGACCGGCCACAUUGGGACUGAGACACGGCCCAAACUCCUACGGGAGGCAGCAGUGGGGAAUAUUGCACAAUGGGGGGAACCCUGAUGCAGCGACGCCGCGUGAGCGAAGAAGUAUUUCGGUAUGUAAAGCUCUAUCAGCAGGGAAGAAAAUGACGGUACCUGACUAAGAAGCACCGGCUAAAUACGUGCCAGCAGCCGCGGUAAUACGUAUGGUGCAAGCGUUAUCCGGAUUUACUGGGUGUAAAGGGAGCGUAGACGGCUGUGUAAGUCUGAAGUGAAAGCCCGGGGCUCAACCCCGGGACUGCUUUGGAAACUAUGCAGCUAGAGUGUCGGAGAGGUAAGUGGAAUUCCCAGUGUAGCGGUGAAAUGCGUAGAUAUAUGGAGGAACACCAGUGGCGAAGGCGACGGUCUGGGCCGCAACUGACGCUCAUUCCCGAAAGCGUGGGGAGCAAAUAGGAUUAGAUACCCUAGUAGUCCACGCC